rnacentral:rRNA from 1 species
GACGAGGGGUCCAAGCGUUGUUCGGAAUCAUUGGGCGUAAAGCGGGUGUAGGCGGCUCUAUAAGUCAGGAGUGAAAGCCCCAAGCUUAACUUGGGAAGUGCUUUUGAUACUGCAGAGCUUGAAUGUGGGAGAGGGUAGUGGAAUUCCGAGGUGUAGUGGUGAAAUACGUAGAUAUCGGGAGGAACACCUGUGGCGAAAGCGGCUCACUGGACCAUUACUGACGCUGAGGCACGAAAGCUAGGGGAGCAAACGGG